GGCAGUGUGGUAUAGUGGUUUGAGCAUUGGGCUAGGAUGCUGGAGACCAGGGUUUAAAUCCCAGCUCAGCCA